rnacentral:rRNA from 1 species
AGUGGACGCUGGCGGUAGGCCUAACACAUGCAAGUCGAACGGCAGCACAGUAAGAGCUUGCUCUUACGGGUGGCGAGUGGCGGACGGGUGAGGAAUACAUCGGAAUCUACUUUUUCGUGGGGGAUAACGUAGGGAAACUUACGCUAAUACCGCAUACGACCUACGGGUGAAAGCAGGGGAUCUUCGGACCUUGCGCGAUUGAAUGAGCCGAUGUCGGAUUAGCUAGUUGGCGGGGUAAAGGCCCACCAAGGUGACGAUCCGUAGCUGGUCUGAGAGGAUGAUCAGCCACACUGGAACUGAGACACGGUCCAGACUCCUACGGGAGGCAGCAGUGGGGAAUAUUGGACAAUGGGCGCAAGCCUGAUCCAGCCAUACCGCGUGGGUGAAGAAGGCCUUCGGGUUGUAAAGCCCUUUUGUUGGGAAAGAAAAGCAGCAGGUUAAUACCCCGCUGUUCUGACGGUACCCAAAGAAUAAGCACCGGCUAACUUCGUG